UCUGUGUCAGAAUUCUAAAGCUCAGAGAUUCUCCAUGCUGCAUCCCCCAUACCAUCUAUAUCUAAGGCUGGGGUGUAAAGUAAGAAAUGGUUUUCAACAAGCAUGCUAGGGCCACCACAACUAAUCCCACUGCCCUGUUCGAGGCCAAUGGCCUGAGCUACAAGUGAUUGAAAGGGCAACUUAGGUUCCGGUGAUUCCUCGAAAGAUUUGGUCCACAUGACUGCUCACUCACCGGUAAAAGGGCUUAAUGUAAGCCGGCUAUAUUGCUGACUGUGCAAGGAUGUGGGGUUGUCUGAGAAUAGCCUUCAAUGGCACUGACUGACAAGGAGAGCCUCAAGAAUACCUUGUAAAGCCCAUGGUGGGGCAGUGAAUCUGGGAACCUGAUAAGAAAAUAGGUUGCUACGGUUCUGCUUAUUAGAGUGGACUCCUAGACCUAAUGAAAAUGCUAAAUUAUAAAUCCAGAAUAAGAACUGGAAUAAAGUUCUCUAGAAUUACUAGAAACAGCAAAAGAAAAUUGGAUGAAGACAAUAUUGGAGCUUUUCUACUUUAGCUGACAAGCUGGAAAAUGCAGGAGUACCUUCCAUUUGGGAAACAGCUGUCUUUCUACUAUAAGGAGAAACCUGGUACUUUUCUGCCUGGUACUGUCCCAGCAUGGCACAUGUGAUAUUCCUUGGAUUGAGAGCAGAGUCAUGAUAAUAGCCACUGCUGGUGGAUGACCCAACACAGCCAGAGCCUCAGUCAUCUCACCCUUGGCAAAACAAUCUUUCUAGAGCCAAAUACUUGAGGGAUCUCCCUUGGCACAUAGCUUCCUGCAUAUCCUGACUCUCUUCUGGCUGUUCUCUUCCAACCUACAAAGAUGUAACGUGAAUUUAAUUCAGGACCACUGGAGAAGAGCAGAAGCAGAUCCCUCCUAUCUCUCCAUGACCUCCUCAGCAAGCAGGCCAUGUCCUCCAGCCCACUCCCCGUCCCACUGCCUGCCCAUACAUACUCCAGGAGAACAGUACCUGUUUACGGUCUCUUGGCUCUCUGGAGUGUGGAGUGCUCUCAGAGUUGAGAGGGGAAGACACUGGCAUGCCAUGAGCAGGACUGCCUUGGAGCCAACUCACAGCUGAGCUUCCUACCUGGUCUUCCAGGGAAGGUGGAGCUUCAAGAAGCUUGACCUCCUCAUAGCACCAGCGUAAAGGGCAGUUAACUGUUUGGGCAUCAAAAUAGGCAUUGUGUGAGUUGUUGUGUAUCCCCAGACCAAUGUGACAAUAGAAACAAAUUAUUCCUAA
rnacentral:lncRNA from 1 species